rnacentral:rRNA from 1 species
GUGAGACAGUACGGUCUCUAUCUGGUGUGCGCGAAGGAAACUUGAGAGGAGCUGUCCACAGUACGAGAGGACCUGGAUGGACGAACCUCCCGUAUACCGGUUGUCCUGCCAAGGGCAUAAGCCGGGUAGCGGUGUUCGGUAGGGAUAAACGCUGAAAGCAUCUAAGCGUGAAACCCGCCUCAAGAUUAGGUUUCCCUCCUCGAUUAACGAGGCUAAAGGCCCCCGGAAGACUACCGGGUUGAUAGGCGAGAUGUGUAAGCAUGGUAACAUGUUCAGCUAACUCGUACUAAUCGGCCGUGAGGCUUGGCCUUAU